rnacentral:rRNA from 1 species
CCUACGGGUGACUGCAGUGGGGAAUAUUGGGCAAUGGGCGCAAGCCUGAACCAGCAACGCCGCGUGAAGGAAGAAGGCUCUCGGGUUGUAAACUUCUUUUAUCAGGGACGAAGCAAGUGACGGUACCUGAUGAAUAAGCCACGGCUAACUACGUGCCAGCAGCCGCGGUAAUACGUAGGUGGCAAGCGUUAUCCGGAUUUACUGGGUGUAAAGGGCGUGUAGGCGGGAAAGCAAGUCAGAUGUGAAAACCAUGGGCUCAACCUGUGGCCUGCAUUUGAAACGGUUUUUCUUGAGUACUGGAGAGGCAGACGGAAUUCCUAGUGUAGCGGUGAAAUGCGUAGAUAUUAGGAGGAACACCAGUGGCGAAGGCGGUCUGCUGGACAGCAACUGACGCUGAGGCGCGAAAGCGUGGGGAGCAAACAGGAUUAGAUACCCGGGUAGUC